CGGUACGCGGAACACGGCGCUUGUGGUAUCAAAUUCCCUGCAAUUGUGCAAGCAGCUUUCUUCUUUAUCCUCUCCAUUUUCCGACUUCUCUUCCUUUACACUCUGAACUCUGAAGUGGGAAAAGAAAGCUUUAAGUGCACUUUAAUGGCAUUAUAAUUGAGCAAAAUCUUCAUUCUGAUUCUUGUUUCGCCAUUCAUUCCUUCCUUAUGAGCUUCUCUUUUCUGUGAAUUUCUUUCUAACAUUGAAUUUACACUAUUUAAUACCCAGAAUUCAGAAAUAUCCAAAUUCAAAGGAGUUCCAGAAUUUACAAUAAUAAUAAUGUGGAUUGCAGCAACUCCUUUGAAUUAUUCGCGCAUUUUCAUCCUCAAAGGCUGCAAUUUUUCUUCAUUUAGAGUUCAAUGUUCUGAUACUCCUCGUGGGUUUGGAUCACAAGAUAAUAAUAGUGCAAAAAAAUUGAGUACUUCAAAGCAACAAAAGGGCGGAAUUUCACAGCAAAGCAAGCCAGCAAGUGUAAAAUCUAGCUCUACUCCUAGUCAAGCACCUGGCUUGAGUACAAGGCCUGACAAAAAGUAUAACCAAAUUUCUUCUGAUCCUCAGUUCGACGAGAAGCUUCAAGCUAUCAAAAGGUCAGCUCUUGAAAAGAAAAAAGCAGAGGUAGAGAAAGAGUUUGGGGCAAUCGACUAUGACGCACCAAGUGAGCCAGAGCAGAACCCAAUUGGUCUUGGGACAAAGAUCGGAGUUGGAAUUGCUGUUGUGGUCUUUGGCCUUGUUUUUGCUUUGGGGGACUUUCUACCAUCUGAAAGCAUAAAUUCCUCUGAAGACAAUGGAACAGUCAACCAAAAAAGGUCCAAAGAAGAGAUAGCUGUUCUACAGAGUAAGCUUCAGCAAUAUGAGACAACUCUGAGCUCCACACCUAAAGAUCCAAUUGCUCUGGAAGGAGCUGCAGUAACAUUAGCAGAACUUGGAGAAUAUGCCCGGGCUGCUUCUUAUCUUGAAGACUUAACAAAGGAGAAGCCAAGUGAUCCAGAUGUCUAUCGCCUGCUGGGGGAAGUAAAGUACGAACUGAAAGAUUAUGAAGGAAGUGCUGCGGCAUACAGAAACUCAGCGAAGGUGACCAAAGCCAUAGAUAUUGAAGUUUUGCGUGGACUUACAAAUGCCUUACUAGCUGCCAACAAGCCAGACGAGGCUGUUCAGGUCCUUCUGGAUGGCCGUAAUCGCCUUAGUAACAGCAAGUUAAGUGAGAGUACUAGCGGGACCGAAAGCAGCAGAGAGGAAAAUGACAAGCAAGAUGUGGAUCCAAUUCAAGUUGAAUUGCUGCUUGGAAAAGCCUAUUCGGAUUGGGGUCACAUCAGCGAUGCCGUAUCUGUUUAUGAUCAAUUGAUUUCUAGCCACCCAAGUGACUUUCGGGGUUACUUAGCUAAGGGGAUAUUGUUGAAAGAAAAUGGCAAUGCUGGAGAUGCAGAACGGAUGUUUAUACAAGCACGUUUCUUUGCUCCUGAAAAGGCGAAGGCAUUUGUGGAUCGUUACUCAAGAAACUAAUACUAGAUAUUAAUGUUAGAUUGUAUACCGAGAAGAAAAUGAAAUGAAUGAUGCUCCUAUGUCCUAUACAAAUCAAAAGAAUCGAUGGAGGAUUAAAGUAGCUGAUUAUGUCAUUCCUUAGCUCUUACAGAUCUCUUGAAAAUCAUCCUCGUCACAGGGGAUCAUCAACGCACCCUGUUGCUCAAAUCCAAAUUCUUCAGCUACUGUUUCCAUCAAGUCCCCAAAAUCCGGCAUAGACAGAUAAGCCAUCGGGAUGAUGAACCUCUUCUCAUCUGGCCCUACGUAUACAGGCGCACUAGAACUUGGGAUUUAAAUGAGGGACAAAAAUCAAAAGGCCCAAAUUCAGUUGCCACUUCACCAUAGUCGGAAUUAGGGGUGUUCAACGGGUCAGGCCUCCAUUUUGAGCUCUUAUAUGGCCCGUUUUUAGAAGAAUUGUAACGGUCGGGUUGAAAAUGGGCUCUAUUAUAAUUAAAAUGAAACGGGCUAUAAAGGGUUUAAUAAAGGGUCGGAAACAAGUCUUUGCAAAUAGCAUAAUUGGUGGAUAAUGUAAUUAUUAUAAUUAUUAUAGAGGUUAUUUACAUUUUAUCAAUUUAAUUAUUAUAAUGAUAAUUUAAUUGCCACCCUCUCUUAUAUGAGACCGUCUCAUCGUGAGACGAGUCCAUACAAAAGACUCAUUAUACUAAAGUUUCUAUUAUUGGGCUUUUUAACCCAAAUAUUGAGCACGUCUCCCAGUGAGACCUUCUCAUACAAGAAUUUGUAUUUAAUUUUAUAAAUUGAUAAAUGGGGAUUAAAAUAUUUUUUAGUUAUAAAAAUUGGUUGAGUUGGGCUGGGCUUUCAAAGCCCGAAUCAAUUAAAUCCCGUAUUAAGUUUGAAGGACUUAUAUCCAAUCUGGCCCAUAUUUAUUUAAAUUCGACCCAGUCCUUAUUCGGCCCAUUGAACAUCCCUUGUCAGAACAUAGAGAAAAUUUGAAAACAAUAAGACA